rnacentral:rRNA from 1 species
AUUGAACGCUGGCGGCAGGCCUAACACAUGCAAGUCGAGCGGAUGAAGGGAGCUUUCUCCUGGAUUCAGCGGCGGACGGGUGAGUAAUGCCUAGGAAUCUGCCUGGUAGUGGGGGAUAACGUCCGGAAACGGGCGCUAAUACCGCAUACGUCCUGAGGGAGAAAGUGGGGGAUCUUCGGACCUCACGCUAUCAGAUGAGCCUAGGUCGGAUUAGCUAGUUGGUGGGGUAAAGGCCUACCAAGGCGACGAUCCGUAACUGGUCUGAGAGGAUGAUCAGUCAGACUGGAACUGAGACACGGUCCAGACUCCUACGGGAGGCAGCAGUGGGGAAUAUUGGACAAUGGGCGAAAGCCUGAUCCAGCCAUGCCGCGGGUGUGAAGAAGGUCUUCGGAUUGUAAAGCACUUUAAGUUGGGAGGAAGGGCAGUAAGUUAAUACCUUGCUGUUUUGACGUUACAAACAGAAUAAGCACCGGCUAACUUCGUG